GAUGAACGCUGGCGGCGUGCCUAAUACAUGCAAGUCGAGCGAACGGACGAGAAGCUUGCUUCUCUGAUGUUAGCGGCGGACGGGUGAGUAACACGUGGAUAACCUACCUAUAAGACUGGGAUAACUUCGGGAAACCGGAGCUAAUACCGGAUAAUAUUUUGAACCGCAUGGUUCAAAAGUGAAAGACGGUCUUGCUGUCACUUAUAGAUGGAUCCGCGCUGCAUUAGCUAGUUGGUAAGGUAACGGCUUACCAAGGCAACGAUGCAUAGCCGACCUGAGAGGGUGAUCGGCCACACUGGAACUGAGACACGGUCCAGACUCCUACGGGAGGCAGCAGUAGGGAAUCUUCCGCAAUGGGCGAAAGCCUGACGGAGCAACGCCGCGUGAGUGAUGAAGGUCUUCGGAUCGUAAAACUCUGUUAUUAGGGAACAACAUAUGUGUAAGUAACUGUGCACAUCUUGACGGUACCUAAUCAGAAAGCCACGGCUAACUACGUG
rnacentral:rRNA from 1 species